rnacentral:rRNA from 1 species
GAGGCAUCUCUCCGGGUUGAAAACUCCGGUGGUUAUAGAUGGACAUGCGUUGUAUUAGCUAGUUGGUGAGGUAACGGCUCACCAAGGCAACGAUACAUAGGGGGACUGAGAGGUUAACCCCCCACACUGGUACUGAGACACGGACCAGACUCCUACGGGAGGCAGCAGUGAGGAAUAUUGGUCAAUGGACGCAAGUCUGAACCAGCCAUGCCGCGUGCAGGAAGACGGCUCUAUGAGUUGUAAACUGCUUUUGUACGAGGGUAAACUCACCUACGUGUAGGUGACUGAAAGUAUCGUACGAAUAAGGAUCGGCUAACUCCGUGCCAGCAGCCGCGGUAAUACGGAGGAUUCAAGCGUUAUCCGGAUUUAUUGGGUUUAAAGGGUGCGUAGGCGGUUUGAUAAGUUAGAGGUGAAAUCCCGGGGCUUAACUCCGGAACUGCCUCUAAUACUGUUAGACUAGAGAGUAGUUGCGGUAGGCGGAAUGUAUGGUGUAGCGGUGAAAUGCUUAGAGAUCAUACAGAACACCGAUUGCGAAGGCAGCUUACCAAACUAUAUCUGACGUUGAGGCACGAAAGCGUGGGGAGCAAACAGGAUUAGAUACCCUGGUAGUCCACGCAGUAAACGAUGAUAACUCGUUGUCGGCGAUACACAGUCGGUGACUAAGCGAAAGCGAUAAGUUAUCCACCUGGGGAGUAC